CAACAAAUAGUUUAAGGAAAAUAUUAAUUUUGGAGAUUAAUGAUGUGAAGAAUUCAUUUUGUUGA
rnacentral:tRNA from 1 species